GCCAGCAUGAUGCAGUGGUUUGAAUGUUGGACUACUAUUCUAGAGAACAGGGUUCAAAUCCCCACUCAGUCA